UGUCGACAUGUGCUUGUCUUCAGUCAGUGUGAGCAUGUCUGAAGUAGUAUGUGAGAAGAACCUGCCAGCUUUCCUGGAUCCACGGUGGACUUGCAUUUUCUGAAAACUUCUCUCCGGAGGAACAACAAACUAGCACUCCGUUGCUUGCUUCCUUUGUCAUACUGCCGGAUCAUAGCUGCAGCCAUGAGGGACCUUCGCUUCCCCAACCACAGAUGAAACACAAGCUCCCUGCUGUAGUAGCUGAGAGUCUUAACCACUGAAUCUCCAGGGAAGUCCCAGGUCAUUCUGGCAGGAAUGAGAGAAGGUGGAUUAGAGUCAAGAGUGGAGCUGUGGUGGCAGGUCUGGAGAUUUUUGAGAAGGUUUAGGGGAAGAGUGGACAAAGCCUGGACCAAGACAUUGACAGUGAGUUUCAUAUGGGAUGGUUUUGGAUUACAGAAACCUCCCAGAGGUGGAACUGUGUGCCACUGGAGAGUAGAAGGAAAUGGCAACCCACUCCAGCAUUCUCGCCUGGGAAAUCCCACAGACAGAGAAGCCAAGCUGUUUUUUAGGAUAGACCUGGUGGCUCAGAUGUUAAAGAAUCUGCCAGCAAUGCAGGAGACCGAGGUUCAAUCCCUGAGUCAGGAAGAUCCGCUGAAGAAGGCAAUGGCUACCCACAUCUGUAUUCUUGCCUGGAGAAUUCCAUGGACAGAGGUGCCUGGCAGGCUACGGUCACUGGUCACAAAGAGUUGGACAUGACUGAGCAACUAACACACUUUCCCACCAUUAUACUGACGUGAAAUUCAUCUCUGGAAACCCUGGGUGACUUAUUCUUGGCCUCUUUGAAAUGGAGAUCACUUUUGAUAUAGCUUAACUCCAAGGUUUCAAGUUUGUGUUAUUAAAUAUAUGAAAGAAAAUAUCAAUAUUGAUAACAAAGUUUGUCAAACACUUUUACACACUAAGUUUCCAUUUGGGCCUCACCACAGUUGAUGAGAAAAUUACUCUGACUGUCCCUACUCUGCUAAUGAGAAAACUGAUUCUUUUAUAGAUAUUACCUCUAUGCUUAUAAACAAGUGAUGCAGUA